CACUGUAUCAAGCUUUGAAGGACGCAUCCAUUGAACGAUCGUAUCUCUUCGGAUUGACCCACGUGUUCUUAUCGUACGGCUGAAAGACAUAAUGGUUGUCGACCCACUUCAACGUGAAGCGCAGAAGUCCCUCCUCUUCUUCUUCUUUCGAUGGUUUUUCUCCUUCAUCCUUUUCUCUCUCUACUUCUCUCUCAUCACUUCUUUCCGCUUUCACCUCUUCUCUCUCUUCCACUUUGUUGUGGUCUCCGAUUUUCGUUUUUUGAUCAUCUUAUUGCCUUUUGUAUUAUCAAAUCUGUAAAAUCAAUGAAUAAAAUGGAAAUGAAAACAUUAUUAUAUGUUUUCUAAAGAAAUAACAAGAGCUUAUCAGUACAAAUAAUGAAAUAAAAAUAUGAGAAACCUUACUGGUUUGUUUCUCUUUGGAAUCAGAAUACCUCCUCUCUCUCUAACAUGGACUUCAAAUGACUCAUAGAAGAUAUUUGGAACGAAUUAUUCUAGUAACAAAUCUCAUCAAAGAUUUAUAUCACGUGACUAUUAUCAUUUAAUAUUUUUUU
rnacentral:lncRNA from 1 species